GUGAACAAUCUCACCCUAAGCCACACAGUUAGCAGUGGAGCAAAAACAAAGUUGAUCUUAUCUGAAAGCCUUCCGGGAGCACGUGCCUGACAUUUGGAACGAACAAAUGAAUGCGUGGCUAGGAAGACCUUUGAGCCGAGAUCUGACUGGAUUUAGGAAGAGAAUUCAGCAGAGCCCUAAGCCAGAAGUGUACUAGAAACCAGCAACGGGAAGUGAGGUGGCCAAUGUGACUGGAACUGACCGGUGCAAGAGAGACAAUAGUGGAAGUCGCGGCUUGGUGGGUGCCUUGACUUUGGGCCCAGUUUCCGGUUU